GGUCUGGAAGAUAAGGGGAGAAUUGUUGGAGGAAGUGAUAUCUGAGCUGAUCUUAAGGACUGGGAGGAGUUAGCAGGUUGAGAGGGAGUCGGGAAGCACGGCAGGCAGAGAUGUGCAAACAAGCAGCCUUGUUGAGACAACUCACGAUGGAGCCGUUUGGCCAUGUGUGCUGAUGCUCAUUCCAGCCAGAAGCUUCAAACCUCUGAAAUGGCAUCAAGGGGAGGAAACGGCUGGGUGAGGGCCGUCCUUCAAGCAACGUCUGUCUUCCUUCUUCUUGCUGCCACUUCAGUCUCUUCUCGGAAAACAGUCCACCCCUAGGAAAAAGGAUGGAAAAAGGAGCCUCUUCACACGGUGGGUUAUCUGGGUAGAGAAAGAAGAAAGGGCACACGAUCCCGUCACAGUUUACUCAUCUUGACAUGAUCUAUGUGUGCGAAGAGCUGUUAGGAGUAAACUCAAAACUCAGCUAAAUCUUAAUGGAAGUCAUUUCCAAUAGAUCCUUCGACUGAACGGUGAGCAGAUUGUCCAUUUCAGCGUUGAUGUGUGUGCAAGCACAGAAUUGUUUAUGUAGAAGAUACAAUUUUAAAUAUCAAAUGAGGUAAAAAUUGA
rnacentral:lncRNA from 1 species